rnacentral:lncRNA from 1 species
ACAAAACCAAUUGGUCCCAAGCUCAUAUCAUUCACCAUUAUCAUUUCAUGAACAAAAUAACACAAAACAUGCAAUUUGCAACCUCAAAGGACCAAACAGAAUGAUCUCACUCAAAUCAAUAUUAAAACAAUUCAAUAAAUUCCACAAAUAUUCAAGUGUAAACAGAACACAUAUCAUGUCAAGCACACCAAAUUUCAGCUCAUUUAGAUCAAGGGAAGUAGGUCAAUGAAAUUCAUAAAGUCCAGACAAGUUCAAGCAAGCCAACACAA